UACGAAGGGGGCUAGCGUUGCUCGGAAUUACUGGGCGUAAAGCGCACGUAGGCGGUUUCUUAAGUCGGGGGUGAAAUCCUGGAGCUCAACUCCAGAACUGCCUUCGAUACUGGGAAACUUGAGUCCGGGAGAGGUGAGUGGAACUGCGAGUGUAGAGGUGAAAUUCGUAGAUAUUCGCAAGAACACCAGUGGCGAAGGCGGCGACCUGGUCCUUGACUGACGCUGAGGCGCGAAAGCGUGGGGAGCAACAGG
rnacentral:rRNA from 1 species